rnacentral:rRNA from 1 species
CCUACGGGUGGCAGCAGUAGGGAAUUUUUCACAAUGGGCGAAAGCCUGAUGGAGCAAUGCCGCGUGAAUGAUGAAGGUCUUAUAGAUUGUAAAAUUCUUUUAUUUGGGAAGAAAGACUAAAGUAGGAAAUGACUUUAGUCUUACUGUACCAUUUGAAUAAGUAUCGGCUAACUAUGUGCCAGCAGCCACGGUAAUACAUAGGAUGCAAGCGUUAUCCGGAUUUACUGGGGGUAAAACGAGCGCAGGCGGGUUAACAAGUUUGGUAUGAAAUGCUUUUGCUUAACGAAAGUUUGUAUCAAAAACUGGUAAUCUAGAGUGGAAUAGAGAGAUGUGGAAUGCGAUGUGGAGCGGUGGAAUGCGUAGAUAUCUGGCAGAACACCAGUGGCGAAGGCGAGAACUUAGGCUAUCACUGACGCUUAGGCUCGAAAGUGUGGGGAGCAAAUAGGAUUAGAUACCCUGGUAGUC